GACGAACGCUGGCGGCAUGCCUAACACAUGCAAGUCGAACGGCAGCACGGGUGCUUGCACCUGGUGGCGAGUGGCGAACGGGUGAGUAAUACAUCGGAACGUACCUUAUCGUGGGGGAUAACGCAGCGAAAGCUGUGCUAAUACCGCAUACGCCCUGAGGGGGAAAGCGGGGGAUCGCAAGACCUCGCGCGAUUAGAGCGGCCGAUGCCUGAUUAGCUAGUUGGUGGGGUAAAAGCCCACCAAGGCGACGAUCAGUAGCUGGUCUGAGAGGACGAUCAGCCACACUGGGACUGAGACACGGCCCAGACUCCUACGGGAGGCAGCAGUGGGGAAUUUUGGACAAUGGGGGCAACCCUGAUCCAGCAAUGCCGCGUGAGUGAAGAAGGCCUUCGGGUUGUAAAGCUCUUUUGUCAGGGAAGAAACACCGGCUCUAACACAGUCCGGGAAUGACGGUACCUGAAGAAUAAGCACCGGCUAACUACGUGCCAGCCGCCGCGGUAA
rnacentral:rRNA from 1 species